UUCUUAUCCAGAGAGGUGGAGGGACUGGCCCUAAGAAACCUCGGCAGCGGACGAUUAAGUACUGUGCCAAAUCCAGCAAGCGAAUGAUGCUUGAAAGAUAAGAA
rfam:Virgibacillus massiliensis genome assembly, contig: 000001